GACGAACGCUGGCGGCGUGCCUAAUACAUGCAAGUCGAACGGUUUAGUUCCAAGAGGCAAGACUCUUGGAACUAAGCAGUGGCGGACGGGUGAGUAACACGUAGGCAACCUACCUGUCAAACCGGGAUAACCUCGGGAAACCGAAGCUAAACCCGGAUAAGCUCCUUUUUCGCAUGAAGGGGGAGUGAAAAGGUGCGACCUGAUGACAGAUGGGCCUGCGGCGCAUUAGCUAGUAGGUAGGGUAACGGCCUACCUAGGCGAUGAUGCGUAGCCGACCUGAGAGGGCGUACGGCCACACUGGGACUGAGAUACGGCCCGGACUCCUACGGGAGGCAGCAGUAGGGAAUCUUCGGCAAUGGGCGAAAGCCUGACCGAGCAACGCCGCGUGAGUGAGGAAGGCCUUCGGGUUGUAAAACUCUGUUGUUUGGGAAGAAGGGAAAGGGUAGGACCCUUAGGUGACGGUACCAAACGAGAAAGCCCCGGCUAACUACGUG
rnacentral:rRNA from 1 species